rnacentral:rRNA from 1 species
UUCUUUAAAUGGGGACUUGUAUCAACGGCACCACGAGGGUUAGACUGUCUCCUUUUUCAAAUCAGUGAAAUUAAUCUCCCCGUGAAGAAGCGGGGAUACUCAUAUAAGACGAGAAGACCCCAUGGAGCUUCAAACCCAACUACACCCCUAGCUCUUAUAGCCCCACAACCCCCCUAGGCACCGUGUGCUUGGUUUUAGGUUGGGGCGACCGCGGAGUACAAUAAAACCUCCACAAUGAAUGGGAACACCCCCUUAUCUGAGGGCCACACCCCCUAAGAAUUAGAACACUAACAUAAAAUGAUCCAUUAUUUGAUCAAUGAACCAAGUUACCCUGGGGAUAACAGCGC